rnacentral:rRNA from 1 species
UACGUAGGGGGCAAGCGUUGUCCGGAUUUAUUGGGCGUAAAGAGCGUGUAGGCGGUCAGGUAGGUCCGUUGUGAAAACUCGAGGCUCAACCUCGAGACGCCGAUGGAAACCAUCUGACUAGAGUCCGGAAGAGGAGAGUGGAAUUCCUGGUGUAGCGGUGAAAUGCGCAGAGUAUCGGGAGGAACACCGGUGGCGAAGGCGGUUCUCUGGGGCCUUACCUGACGCUGAGGAGCGAAAGCGUGGGGAGCGAACAGG